rnacentral:tRNA from 1 species
ACUGGCGGUAGCCAACCUUGGCGCGUUGCAGCGCCGCUUCCAGUGCGGCGUCGGUGUCGAACGGGUAGGUGCCGAUCUGCUCGCCGCUG